rnacentral:lncRNA from 1 species
GAAGGAACACACAUUUUUAGAGAAAUAAUACAUUGAGAAGAAAAUAAAGCUGACUCUAAUGUCCCAGGGGGCUUUGUCUGUUCCUUCUAGUCCCACAUGGAUCUGCACCUUAGCUGAGGGAGUGUGGGUCAGGAGAUCAAUCAAUCUUUAUGUCAGGGUUUUGGGGUUGUGUCGGUCAUUGUGCUGCAGGGGGUGGUGUGGGGCACAAUUGGUUACAGCUGGCACUGCUGGCAGGCGCACCUGUAGGCAAUUUACAUUGGGCUGCCUAUUUAAGCAGGUUGCGCCUGCCUGUCAGUGCCAGGGUGUCUGUUUGUGUUGUGAGGGUGUUUGUUCGGGUUCCCCCGUCGUGUGUUGGAUCUGCGGUCCUGGAGGACUGCUUCUGUUCCUGAGUUCUCUGCAGUCCUGGAGGACUGCUGUUCCUGAGUUCUCUGCAGUCCUGGAGGACUGCUUCUGUUCCUGAGUUCUCUGCGGUCCUGGAGGACUGCUUCUGUUCCUGAGUUCUCUGCGGUCCUGGAGGACUGCUUCUGUUCCUGAGUUCUCUGCAGUCCUGGAGGACUGCUUCUGUUCCUGAGUUCUCUGCAGUCCUGGAGGACUGCUUCUGUUCCUGAGUUCUCUGCAGUCCUGGAGGGCCGCCUCUGUUCCCGAGUUUCCUGCGGCCCUGGAGGGCCACCUCUGUUCCCGAGUUUCCUGUGGCCCUGGAGGGCCGCUUCUGUUCCCUGUGCUCGGCUGUCCUGGAGGGCUGCCCGCGUCUUGUGUUGCCUCCCUUCCCCCGUAAAUAAAACCUUGACUAUUUUACUACUGUGUCCUGGCCUGCGUUCGGGUCCUGUUCACCCCCCUCCGUGACACUUUAUUUAUAUAGCGUCUGUUACAAUCAAAAUUAUUUCUUUACAGAAUCCCAGGGCCUGACCCACAACAAGCAACAGUGGCAAGGAAAACCCCCAUUUUACAGGAAAAAACCUUGAGUAGGACCAGGCUCAUGUAGGGGGACCCUCCUGCUGAUGACCGUUGGGGGAGGACACGUAGAGGAGAGAAUAGGCAGAUGUCAUAGAAAUACGUACAUUAAUAAUACAAGCUGCUGGUAUAACAGUAGCAGGGUCGGCAGGCCAGCAUAUAGCUAUAAAGGCAGCUAGAUGUUAAGAACGGUUGUAUCAGGACCCGGAAGCAGGCAACACGCAGUGGAGAAUGGUGUUUGAAAAGAGUCUUUAUUUUAAAGUGAACAAGAACAGUUUGGGCCGGGUUCACAGAGAGGCACAGAGAGCUCAACUGAGUCCAAAUCAAGUCCACUAGGAAAACUCACAAAAAAGUCAAGCCACAGAAGUCAGGGUUGGGAACAGAGCUUGAAAAUAUAGCCCUUGCACCUGAGAGUCGCUGGCAGGGUUGUUAGUAGGGUCUUUCACGUAGUUUCAGUUGAUGUGUCUCUCCUUUGUCUGCUGGCUGACAUAGUGGUGAGUCACCAGGUCUCCUGAAAUGGUGUGAACGUUUGGUUUGUUGUUGGAAGGAGUGGAGGACUGCAUUGUAUGUGGGUGGAUAGGAAGUGCCUUAGCCCACCACCUCAGUUUAAGGAUGUUUUUUUCCAAUUUGACAUGGAUGACUUCGUUGACACCCCUCUCAAACCAACAAUCUUCUCUGGCCAGUACUCGUACUUGGCUAUCUUCAAAGGAGUGCCUGCUCUUCUUUAGGUGUAAGUGGACUGCUGAGUCCUGACCUGAAGAGGUGGCGUUUUCGUCGUAACACCCCUUCUCUGAGGAGGCAGAAACAAGGCCUUGAAAGUUUCUACUGCAUCUGACCAUGCACUGCUCUCAGACAGGGUCAGUUGAAUCAGACUUGGUUAGCUCUCCCUCAAAGCUCUCACUGCCGUGCAAGCUCUGGGGCCACAGCGGCAAGUAUCUGUGGGAGAAGAAUGGAAAUAAGUAAAUGAAAAUCUGAAAGAGACUUGCUUUAAAUAGUUUUGCAUUGUGGAUGGCAAGUUAUCGAUUGUGGUACAUGCAGUGUAUCGAGAAUAUCCUCAUGAAUUCCGUGUUUGUUAAGACACUGAUACAAUGUGUUGCCACUAGCCUCGCCACUUCCACUUUCAUCACUGUAUAACAGACAUAACAGGCCUGAGUUUAGAGUUAGUAAACAAUGAGAUGUUGUCCUUUUAUCAAGUAGAAUGCUGAACUUAUCUAGGGACUGGACAACACAUUCAGCUAGCUGAGCUAAUAGUUUCCCUGCUAU